CCCAUGCCUCAACAUCCCAAGUAACUGAGAUUACAGAAAAUAAACUCCUGGAUCCAUAUUUCACACCUUAAGAAAGCACUCCAACCCCCAAGGGCAUCAACUUCAACAGGAAAACUGACCCUUCAACUUACCAAAUCUUUGAAGUGACUAGUUGUAUAGUACAACAAGCAGAAAAUUUGCUAUGGAGGUUGUGUUAACUGUUGACAUUUAUGUGAGAUUUUUGCUGCAUAUUUGUUAGAAAAGGCUCAACAAAAUUAUAAUAAACAAUGAUUGUGUUAUUAAUUUUUUAACUGUUAUAUCAGUUAUAAAUGCUUGGAAUGAAAAUGCCUUAAGGAAAUUAGUCAAUAAUGUCACAUAUGUUACUUUUUCUAAUUGGAUCUGCCAUGAUUGCUAUAAAACUUUGUCCUUCCACUAUGACUCAUGAGUAACUUCAAUAACAAACUGCUUGGGAAUUCCCAAUGCCACAGUAGAACUAGUAUAUGCAAACAUUAUUUAUUAUCAGGGUGCACAUAAAGGGAAACUAGGACAAAAACCUACCCUGUUUCAAUUUGAUCUUGUUCUCUUAAGCAUGGAAAAAGAAUACUUGUUGCUAUAACUCAACAACUAAAACUCUUGUUUCUCAGGAGAAAAUGCAAAAAGAAAACCAGUUUAUUUGUCAUUUUUGGUUUUGCAAAUGCUAAUCAAAGUUGGUCUUUAUGCAAUGCAAUUUUUCCCACUCUUAAAACUGACUGAUAACAGCAAAUCAGACUGAACCUAAAAAUGACUCCUUCAAAAGUACUAAAAGCCUGUGUGCUUAUGUUUAUAUAUUUGUCUGUGAAUGGGGACCAAAUCCUUUUAUAUGCUGGGGAAGAAAAUUCCUUGACUCUUGGUCAUUAGCAAGUCAGUGUACUUGGGUGCUCAUGUCACUAAAAUACCUCAUUUAUCCCUCCAAUAACACCUUCUUCUGGCCAGAAGGAUUAUAUUUAUCCUGUUUCAAAAGGGAAAAUCCUGGAGCACCUGAGGCAUAAAUAUGUCAUCUUCUGCCCAAUUAGUGUUUUUUUGUUUGUUUGUUUGCUUUGCCUGGAGUAGAACAUGGAGAAAUAUGAUCAUGAUUACUGAUUUCUCUCAAAUCCUAGGCAACCUAGCUGAUACGGUUUAUCUCUGUGUCCCCACCCAAAUCUCAUCUCAAAUUGUAAUCCCCACAUGUUGAGGGAGGGGAGUGAUUGGAUUAUGGGGGCUGUUUCCCUCAUGCUGUUCUUGUGAUAGUGAGUGAAUUCUCAUAAGAUCUGAUGGUUUUAUAAAUGGUAUUUUUUCCUGUGUGCUCGCUUCUGUCUCCUGCCACCAUGUGAAGAAGGUCCUUCCUUCCCCUUCACCUUCCACCAUGAUUGUAAGUUUCCUGAGGCUUCUCCAGAUGUGUGGAACUGUGAGUCAAUUAAACCUUCUUCCUUUAUAAAUUACACAGUCUUUGGAAGUUCUUUAUAGCAGUGUGAAAAUGUACUAAUACACUAACCUAUUCAACUGUCAAAGUUAUUGCCACUCAGUAAUAAUCUUUAAAUUCAUUAGCAGCAACUGUAUUAAAUAACAGAAUUACUCUAGAUUAUCUGUUGGCAGUACAGGGAAAUGUUUGUGGGAUAGUUAACAACUUACGUUAUACUUGGGAAAAUGCCUCUGAAGUAGUUGAACUGGAGCUCAAUAAAAUUAGUUUAGGCAGGUCGGCUAAGACAAGUGCCAUCUAUUGGUAAGCCAUCCUUUGACUUAUUUAGUUGUUACCAGAAAGGAUACAUUCCUUGACUAGAUCCCUGUUACAACUUAGUAUCAUUAUAACAUUAUUGUUUCUUUUUUAAAACUGUUCACUAAGUUCUUGGAAAACAUUAUUGUUUCUGAUAAUUUUGUUGAUCUGUAAGUAUUUGUCUCAAUGCUUAGAACAAGCACUAAUGCUGCCCACUGAUUUGAUGUUGGCCCAGAUUCCUGUAGCCUGUUCUGAACAUCCAGAAGGAACUUACAGCACCUAGAAUUAUAAGCUUGACUGAGUCUAUGAAAUAGCUUGUAAAUUCACUUCCCUGUGAGCCAGGGACCCAGAACAGAUAGUCUUACUUCACCCUGGCUUUUGCAGGACAAGAUGGAGCUCAUACAGCAUUGAUUUCGUCAGUGUCUAGGGACCUGUGGUGAUCACAGAUAUUCUCUCCUGGGAGAAAUAUCUUGAUCAAAUGAGGGAAAUGUGAGCUUAUCAAUGUUCCACACUUGCCAUCAGUAAUUUCAUCUUUGUCUACUGACUUCACAUUAAUACUGCCGAUGAACUUUGAGAUCUACAAAGUAACACUUCCUUCACAAAUAUUUGUACUCUCAACAGUACACACUAUAAAGAAACCGGUCACUAUCUUUAAGAACUUUAUAUAUAUAGCUUUUCUGACAAACUGAUGUAAUUUAUUCACGUUUAAUCAACUAAUGAAAUAAUCUGACAAACAAUAUAUGUAAACUAAAUAAGUUUUUCUCAAUGUAAGCCCUCUUUCCUCUUUCAGGUGGUGCAGUCUCUGGCUGCUAACUGGGUUGUAAUCCCUGUUCCUGAAUAAAUG
rnacentral:lncRNA from 1 species